UUCUGAUAGGCUCAUAUGCUGGAACACUUGAUCCUCUGGUGGAGCUUGGGGAGGUAAUGGAACCUUUAGGAGGUACAGCCUUGCUGGAGGAAGUAAGUCCCUGGAGGCGGGCUUUGAGGGUUCAUAUCCAGCCUCACUUCUGAUCCUGCCAUGAGGCUAUGUCUUCCCUGCUGUUAAGAACUCUAACCCUCUGGAGCCAGAAGCCAAAAUAAACCCUUUCUUCCUUAGUUGUUUUGGUCAUGAUGUUUUACACAAUAAAAUCUGAUGCACUUGGUAUCCUCACAGGUCUGUGCUCUCCUGUUUCCCAGGAGCUGUUGGUGUUCCAUCUCAGCACAAGUCCUCUGUAUCCUAUGUUUGGCCAGGAGGCAGACUGCAAGGUCGGCGUUUGGGAGAUGCACUGAGAAUCUGUGUUCAGUGCCUGGAAGCUCCAUCUCCUCCUCCCUCUUCCUCAAGUUAGAUCAUGCCCUCUUGCACUGCUGUGAGAGACAGACAGACAGACAGACAGGCAGGCAGACAGGCAGGCAGGCAGGCAGGCAGGCAGGCUCAGGAGUCCCAGGACAUGAAACUCAUCGGCAUCUCUGGAGGAGAACUACCAUAGGAUGUGUGGCCUUUUCUGAAGCACAGAAUAUUCAUUGUAUUGACGUUGCUGGUGACAGACGAUGAUAACACUAAGUCUUCGAAUGGGAUGCUGAGGAGCCAGAGAGGCUCUGAUGAAAUGCUCACCUUCAGCAGUUCUGCUGGCUUGGGGACAGAUAAUCGGGAAGGCACUAGGGGGUCUACUUUGCUAGUGCCUUUCUGGGACUGAUUGGUACAGAGCUGAAACCCUGGGGCCCGUUCUCUGUUAUCAUUGAAGUGAUCCAAAGAUCACUUCCUCUCCUCUGCUCAUUCAGAUCUGGGCAUCUGAAAAAUAGUGAGUCAGAGGCAUGGUGGCUGUAAUUCUGCUCCUGAUGGUCUGUGCACAUGGGGAGCUACAGAUGUCCCCAGAAUCCAAUACUCACUUGUAUUUAUGUAACGCCAAUAGUCAACUCCACCAGCCUGUACAAAAUGAGGCUACAUAGGUCCUAUUUAUAGCAACAGCAUUACCAGCUAGAAAUUGAUCAUCCGCAGUGUCUGUCUACUUGUUAUUUCUGGAAUAUCUGAGGACUGACCCCACAAACAAGGGUAAGGAUGUGGUCACCAUGCCUGCAUCAUUUCUGACCUCUCUGCUGUGCGUCCUGUGUGGCGCCUCCAUUUCCAGCUGCUUCCACAGGGACCAGAGCCAGAAGCCUGGGCAGGGCAAGACAGCUCUUCUCCUAAUCCUGAGGAGCCCAGAUACCCGGGCCACUGAGCAACCCCACCAGGCCCCAUGCCGAAUACUCUGCUUGAGUGUUAACUUGGUUCUCCUUGUCAGCUCGGAAAUUGUGAGCCCUCAAGAGAGAUAGUGUGUGUGAGCAGCUUCCGGCCUUGGUGUCUCUAACUGUGGAAGCUUGAAGCCUAGCCCAGGGAAGGGUGGACAAAGGACGGAGGGUGAUGCUUCUGUAUCUAGCCGGACUCAAGACGUAACUGAGGGACGCCCACUGCAAAUCAGCUUGAACUAAAGUGGCAUUUGUUUGGCAGUGAACUAAGAAGUCACAUGUAGCAGGUGACCAGGAAGGAAGAGCUGGAGGAAGCGGGCAGGAGGGGUGGGUAUCACCGAGGGACCCACUCCUCUGCACCCACUCCUACCUCCCUCUCCCACUCCCUUUCUCUCUCCACUCCUUCCCCUUGUCCCCUCUGCAGCUCCUUUCCCUCUAGUUCAUUGGCAGACAGCUCCUCUCCACACGCCAGGGGAACUUGUGCACCCUGUGGUCACAUGCAUGUGUGAAACUCCAUGUUGUCUUGCUUUGGUCAGCUCUUGACAGUGUGGGGGGACUGUGCCUUUGGUCGGCUGUGCUCAUCAGGAGGACUGUGCCUUUGGUCGGCUGUGCUCAUCGGGAGGACUGUGCCUUGGGUCGGCUGUGCUCAUCAGGAGGACUGUGCCUUUGGUCGGCUGUGCUCAUCAGGAGGACUGUGCCUUGGGUCGGCUGUGCUGGCAUCAGGUACUGGCUUCUGUUGGCUGCGGUGAGAGCCGUUCACUGCCUGCAUAAGUACUUUCUCCCUGCAAGAGGCGAAGGGAAGAGCCAAACAGGAGAGGGAGGUGCGCCUGGCUGCACAGGGUGUCGCAGCCCUCCCAGCCUGCCACCUCCGUGUGAGCGAGCAACUUCCCUGGAGUCAGACCUGUCAGGGCCUGGAGGGAGGGAAGGAGGUAAUCUUCCACAGGCAGAGGAGUGCUGCCUGCUCAAGCGUGUGAGGUGAGUACUGAGAAGGCUCCUGUCAGCAGAGCCCCACCGCUAAUUGGGGGCUUUUGUCUGGGAAAUGUCAGUAGGACUUGAGUCCUAUUAGAAGCCAUUGAAAGUGACAAAUGACUGAAGACCUCCUCUGCUUACCCCAGAUCUGCAGCCUCCCCCUGGCCAGGGAGUGGUACUGUGCUGGGAAAGGCACAUCCUCCAGGCUACAGGGAGUGGGCAACAUAGCUCAGCCACAGCUGGACAGAAAUACAGCUGGGGAUGACCUGCGUUUUCUGCAAAUGCACGGAGCUUUUCAGGGUCUGAUGGUGCUAUCUGCAGGAGCUUCAGAAAUCUGGGGCCUGGGAGGCUCCCGGCAGGGCUCCACUGGGUGCCACUCUUUGGCUCCAGUCCAGUAUAUAGCGGAGACUAGCCUGGGUCCCUCCUGGGUCUUCCCUCUGGGUGGCAGUGACAGACACCAAAUGUACACAUUAAAGAGUCGUGAGACAGCACGAUGACGAGGGGGCCGAGCUGCAGGGACAGAUGUGCGGGUCCCGCCCUCGGCCCUUGUGCUCCCUUCCAGUUCUCUCCUCACUGUUCUGCUUGGUGUUCACUUGAACUGCUUCCCCCGCUGGCACUGGCUAAUUUAGCG